AUAUUCACCUGGCAGAGGAGAUACCAGAUCACAAAGGUGGUUUUCGCAGGGUGAGGCUCAUCUAUCACACUCCAGAUGUACUUAUCCCAGUGAUUUCCCCAGAUGGAGGGAACUCAACUACAUAAUUUGUGGUGGUCAGGAACCAUGCUCAUGCUCUCCCC